rnacentral:rRNA from 1 species
GAUGAACGCUGGCGGCGUGCCUAAUACAUGCAAGUCGAGCGAACAGAUAAGGAGCUUGCUCCUUUGACGUUAGCGGAAGAAGGGUGAGUAACACGUGGGUAACCUAACUAUAAGACUGGAAUAACUCCGGGAAACCGGGGCUAAUGCCGGAUAACAUUUAGAACCGCAUGGUUCUAAAGUGAAAGAUGGUUUUACUAUCACUUAUAGAUGGACCCGCGCCGUAUUAGCUAGUUGGUAAGGUAACGGCUUACCAAGGCAACGAUACGUAGCCGACCUGAGAGGGGGUGCGGCAAAAGGGGAACUGAAACACGGUCAAGACUCAGACGGGAGGCAGAAGAAGGGAAACUACCGAAAUGGGCGAAAGCCGGAAGGAGAAACGACGGGGGAGGGAGGAAGGUCUUGGGAUCGAAAAACUUUUUUAUGGGGGAAAAAAAAAUGGGAAAGUAAGUGUGCACGUCUGGAGGGUACAUAAUAAGAAAGCCACGGCUAACUACGUG